UAUUCAACUAUUCCGAAUUACUGUUCAUUCAUCCCAAAGAUUUAUGUUUUAAAAUGUGGAAAGAUAAGAAAAUUAUCGGAGAUUGACAAUGUGUAAUUAUAACUGGCAUUAUGUCGAAAUUAGAGAGUCAACAAAACACAAUGUACGUGUUUGUAUGAGUUCAUGCAACACAAUUGAUCGCUGAAUCUGAAAACUUUUUUCUGCACUCGUCCAAAGCAAGUAUUUUCUUUAAAAAGUCAACUAAUGUCAGGAAAAAGAGUUUGGUCUUUGGAUACAUUGAAGAGCUCUUUUUGGACUUAUGUCUGUAUCCGGAGAACGGUAACCAAUGCUCAGCACAGCAGCUUCUUGGCCAUCCUUUUGUCUCUCCAAAUCCCAUGUCGCACGGCUUAAGCAAUAACAUCACUUCAGAUAAGCUUGACGCUGAAAAAGAUCACGGUAGAAAUGAAAAUGGCUGUGAUGAUGAAGACGAGUCUCCUGAUUUGAUGCCUAUUCCUUUCGUUAACGCUGCGAGAAAUUCAAGAGUUCGAAAUGUAUUUGAGGUGUUGCAAAUGCUUGGAGAAUGGAUGGUUUGCUUCAGUUGUGAAGGUAUGUAAUGAAAUGGACGGCUGUCUCUAUGUGAUCAAAAGAAUUCCUUUGAAUCCGAAAAGUGUUCUGUUCGAGAGGAGAAGUUCCUUUCUAGAAUGAAUCAUGAAAAUAUUGUAAGACAGCACUUUCGGAUUCCAAGAUUUACUAUGCAAUAUUUUUCCCGCCGGCGUUUCUUGAUGGUCAUGAAAUGCUUGCCAAACUGCGUGAGCUGUAGGAUUUUUGGAAUCGAACUUCCAUUUGUAAACAUUGCCUGCAGAAUCUACACCUAGCAAUUCGGUAAGGUCUUCCUGAGCCCACUGUGGUAACCUGCCAAAACAAUAAUCAUCACGAGGACUGCACGUUCCAUAUGCAUGCCCAAGCACGUCGUUUUCGUUUGAAGGCCACUUGGCGUUUGCAGACCACCACCAGAAAGCCAACCAAUCACCGCCAUACAUACAAAGGCUCAUGGGACGUGUGGCAGCAAAAUACAAAACAAGGCCUACAGUUGGACGUGGAGAAUUACAAUGUUCAUCGUAGAGCUCAUCUACACCAAAUCUAUAAAAUGUAGAAAUGACAUUUUUGCAACGUUGAAAAGAAUUUCCCAAAAAUC